UACAGAGGGUGCAAGCGUUGUUCGGAAUUAUUGGGCGUAAAGCGCGUGUAGGCGGUGAUGCAUGUCGGGUGUGAAAGCCCUCAGCUUAACUGAGGAAGUGCGCCCGAAACUGCAUCGCUGGAGUGUCGGAGAGGAAGGCGGAAUUCCCGGUGUAGAGGUGAAAUUCGUAGAUAUUCGGAAGAACACCAGUGGCGAAGGCGACUUACUGGACGACUGUUGACACUGAGGUGCGAAAGCGUGGGGAGCAAACAGG
rnacentral:rRNA from 1 species